rnacentral:rRNA from 1 species
UUAGUCAUUGGGCGUUGAAAACCCAAAGGCGCAAUGAAAGUGAAUGACUCCCUCGUGGAGCUGAUGUGCGACCCUGCGUACUGCGGUGCGUGGGGGCAGCAUAGUCCCGUCUUGACCGCUUGCGGUGGGGCGGAGAAAGAGCGUACGCGCUGAGACCCGAAAGAUGGUGAACUAUUCCUGAGCAGGAUGAAGCCAGAGGAAACUCUGGUGGAAGUCCGA